AUAACCGCCGGAAACGGCGACUAAUACCCCAUAUGAUGUGAUGCUGCAUGGCAUUGCAUUGAAAGAUUCAUCGGUGGCGGAUAGGCUCGCGGGACAUUAGCUAGACGGCGGGGCAACGGCCCACCGUGGCGACGAUGUCUAGGGGUUCUGAGAGGAAGACCCCCCACACUGGGACUGAGACACGGCCCAGACUCCUACGGGAGGCAGCAGUGAGGAAUAUUGGUCAAUGGGCGGAAGCCUGAACCAGCCAUGCCGCGUGAAGGACUAAGGCCCUACGGGUCGUAAACUUCUUUAGACGCAGAGCAAUAAGGUCCACGAGUGGACCGAUGAGAGUAUGCGUAGAAUAAGCAUCGGCUAACUCCGUGCCAGCAGCCGCGGUAAUACGGGGGAUGCGAGCGUUAUCCGGAUUCAUUGGGUUUAAAGGGUGCGUAGGCGGCCGAGUAAGUCAGCGGUGAAAGACCGGGGCUCAACCCUGGAAGUGCCGUUGAUACUGUUUGGCUGGAAUGAUCCCGCCGCGGGAGGAAUGAGUGGUGUAGCGGUGAAAUGCAUAGAUAUCACUCAGAACACCGAUUGCGAAGGCAUCUCGCGAGGGGUCAAUUGACGCUGAGGCACGAAAGCGUGGGGAUCGAACAGGAUUAGAUACCCUGGUAGUCCACGCGGUAAAC
rnacentral:rRNA from 1 species